UACAGAGGGGGCAAGCGUUGUUCGGAUUUACUGGGCGUAAAGGGCGCGUAGGCGGCCACCGCAAGUCGACUGUGAAAUCUCCGGGCUUAACCCGGAAAGGUCAGCCGAUACUGCGGGGCUAGAGUGCAGAAGGGGCAACUGGAAUUCUCGGUGUAGCGGUGAAAUGCGUAGAUAUCGAGAGGGACACCUGCGGCGAAGGCGGGUUGCUGGGCUGACACUGACGCUGAGGCGCGAAAGCUAGGGGAGCGAACGGG
rnacentral:rRNA from 1 species